rnacentral:rRNA from 1 species
UGGUGCAUGGUUGUCGGUCAGCUCGUGUCGUGAGAUGUUGGGUUAAGUCCCGCAACGAGCGCAACCCUCGACCUUAGUUGCCAGCAUUCAGUUGGGCACUCUAAGGUGACUGCCGGCUAAAAGUCGGAGGAAGGUGGGGAUGACGUCAAAUCAUCAUGCCCCUUAUGACCUGGGCUACACACGUGCUACAAUGGGCGGUACAAAGGGUCGCGAACCCGCGAGGGGGAGCCAAUCCCAAAAAGCCGCUCUCAGUUCGGAUUGCAGGCUGCAACUCGCCUGCAUGAAGCCGGAAUCGCUAGUAAUCGCGGAUCAGCAUGCCGCGGUGAAUACGUUCCAGGGCCUU